UAUGGAUACAACUAAGGAGGAAGAUGUAGGAGAAGAAAAUCGAACCGUGGUUUGCCAAGGUGCUGCGGUUAUCCGAAGGGGGUGGAAAAGAAAGAAACGAUAUCUGACCUUGUUCAAUGACAUUUUGGUGGUAUCCAGUAAACUAUUUUUCUAUACUCUUCAUUAUAUCCAUUUCCACAUGUAGGUAGG
rnacentral:lncRNA from 14 species